UCGGAGCAAGGAGACAGGUGGUGCAUGGUUGUCGUCAGCUCGUGUCGUGAGAUGUUGGGUUAAGUCCCGCAACGAGCGCAACCCUUAUGGUCAGUUACUACGCAAGAGGACUCUGGCCAGACUGCCGUUGACAAAACGGAGGAAGGUGGGGAUGACGUCAAAUCAUCAUGCCCUUUAUGACUUGGGCUACACACGUACUACAAUGGCGUUAAACAAAGAGAAGCAAGACCGCGAGGUGGAGCAAAACUCAGAAACAACGUCCCAGUUCGGACUGCAGGCUGCAACUCGCCUGCACGAAGUCGGAAUUGCUAGUAAUCGUGGAUCAGCAUGCCACGGUGAAUACGUUCCCGGGCCUUGUACACACCGCCCGUCACACCAUGAGAGCCGGGGGGACCCGAAGUCGGUAGUCUAACCGCAAGGAGGACGCCGCCGAAGGUAAAACUGGUGAUUGGGGUGAAGUCGUAACAAGGUACCCG
rnacentral:rRNA from 1 species